UCACUGAAAUCUUUAUUCACCAGUGGAAGGGAUCAUGAGUGGAAGCGAAACUAAUUUUAGCGUGCUUCUACUUUUGCCGCCAUUGCGGCAUUUUUUCCACCACGCUACCAAGCAUUACUAAAUUUUAAUAUUAAUUCAUCUAAACAUGGGAUGUCCUCUUACUUUUCAAAAGAAAAGGAUCCCAACAAAAAAGCAUAGAUUUUUCAAAUUGGGAAGAAAAAUUACCAUUUCCUGUGUGAUCUAACUCUUGAGAUUUCAUCAAACACCUCAUUGAAAUUGUUAACCGAAGACAAAAAUAAUUCUUCUUUCAAAGUUUCAUUAUGUUCUUCUGUAAUUGGAACUUGUGGAAUGUACAUUCAAGUUUCAAAAUGAUAAACUUGAAAGAAAAAACCAAAUAAAACUAUUUCUGAUGAGGUUCGUCAAACCGUUCAGCAAUUACUUUAGCGAAAAAAAUAAAACGCUCGAGAUACUGGUAAAAUUUAAUGGUAUUCAGAUUUUUUGUAAAUGUAAGUUAUUUCACUAAAAUUUAUUCUUUUCUCUACUAUCCAAUCAACUAAAAAAAAACCUCGUCACUAAAUUUUUGUAAACUAGUUUCGAAAUUAGGGUAAAAAUUAGUCUUAUCAAGCUGGUAAAUUGUAUAAUUGUAAAAUAUUUUUUUUUUAAUAAUGCCAUUGAAUUAUUUCAAAUAAUGUUUAAAAGAACCUCAUUUUGGGUUUAUUUUCAUUUUAAACAAAUGUUUUACAUU